GACGAACGCUGGCGGCGUGCUUAACACAUGCAAGUCGAACGGAAAGGCCCUGCUUUUGUGGGGUGCUCGAGUGGCGAACGGGUGAGUAACACGUGAGUAACCUGCCCUUGACUUUGGGAUAACUUCAGGAAACUGGGGCUAAUACCGGAUAGGAGCUCCUGCUGCAUGGUGGGGGUUGGAAAGUUUCGGCGGUUGGGGAUGGACUCGCGGCUUAUCAGCUUGUUGGUGGGGUAGUGGCUUACCAAGGCUUUGACGGGUAGCCGGCCUGAGAGGGUGACCGGCCACAUUGGGACUGAGAUACGGACCAGACUCCUACGGGAGGCAGCAGUGGGGAAUAUUGCACAAUGGGGCGAAGCCUGAUGCAGCAACGCCGCGUGCGGGAUGACGGCCUUCGGGUUGUAAACCGCUUUCGCCUGUGACGAAGCGUGAGUGACGGUAAUGGGUAAAGAAGCACCGGCUAACUACGUG
rnacentral:rRNA from 1 species